rnacentral:rRNA from 1 species
CCUACGGGAGGCAGCAGUGAGGAAUAUUGGUCAAUGGGCGGAAGCCUGAACCAGCCAAGUCGCGUGAGGGAAUAAGGCCCUACGGGUCGUAAACCUCUUUUGCCGGGGAGCAAGGGCGGGGACGUGUCCCGUCCCGGAGAGUACCCGGAGAAAAAGCAUCGGCUAACUCCGUGCCAGCAGCCGCGGUAAUACGGAGGAUGCGAGCGUAAGCCGGAUUUAUUGGGUUUAAAGGUUGCGUAGGCGGGCUUUUAAGUCAGCGGUAAAAAUUCGGGGCUCAACCCCGUCCGGCCGUUGAAACUGGGGGCCUUGAGUGGGCGAGAAGAAGGCGGAAUGCGUGGUGUAGCGGUGAAAUGCAUAGAUAUCACGCAGAACCCCGAUUGCGAAGGCAGCCUUCCGGCGCCCUACUGACGCUGAGGCACGAAAGUGCGGGGAUCGAACAGGAUUAGAUACCCUAGUAGUC